AGUGAACGCUGGCGUUAGGCCUAACACAUGCAAGUCGAACGGCAGCACAGUAAGAGCUUGCUCUUACGGGUGGCGAGUGGCGGACGGGUGAGGAAUACAUCGGAAUCUACUUUUUCGUGGGGGAUAACGUAGGGAAACUUACGCUAAUACCGCAUACGACCUACGGGUGAAAGCAGGGGAUCUUUGGACCUUGCGCGAUUGAAUGAGCCGAUGUCGGAUUAGCUAGUUGGCGGGGUAAAGGCCCACCAAGGCGACGAUCCGUAGCUGGUCUGAGAGGAUGAUCAGCCACACUGGAACUGAGACACGGUCCAGACUCCUACGGGAGGCAGCAGUGGGGAAUAUUGGACAAUGGGCGCAAGCCUGAUCCAGCCAUACCGCGUGGGUGAAGAAGGCCUUCGGGUUGUAAAGCCCUUUUGUUGGGAAAGAAAAGCAGCAGGUUAAUACCCCGCUGUUCUGACGGUACCCAAAGAAUAAGCACCGGCUAACUUCGUG
rnacentral:rRNA from 1 species